UACGUAGGGUGCAAGCGUUAAUCGGAAUUACUGGGCGUAAAGCGUGCGCAGGCGGUUGUGUAAGACAGAUGUGAAUCCCCGGGCUCAACCUGGGAACUGCAUUUGUGACUGCACGGCUCGAGUGCGGCAGAGGGGGAUGGAAUUCCGCGUGUAGCAGUGAAAUGCGUAGAUAUGCGGAGGAACACCGAUGGCGAAGGCAAUCCCUGGGCCUGCACUGACGGCUCAUGCACGAAAGCCGUGGGGAGCAAACAAGG
rnacentral:rRNA from 1 species